UACGUAGGGGGCUAGCGUUGUCCGGAAUCAUUGGGCGUAAAGCGCGUGUAGGCGGCUCGGUAAGUCCGCUCUGAAAGCCCGGGGCUCAACCCCGGGAGGCGGGUGGAUACUGCCGGGCUAGAGUCCGGAAGAGGCGAGUGGAAUUCCUGGUGUAGCGGUGAAAUGCGCAGAUAUCAGGAAGAACACCCGUGGCGAAGGCGGCUCUCUGGGACGGUACUGACGCUGAGACGCGAAAGCGUGGGGAGCGAACAGG
rnacentral:rRNA from 1 species